rnacentral:misc_RNA from 1 species
GAUGAAGAACGUAGCGAAAUGCGAUAAGUAAUGUGAAUUGCAGAAUUCAGUGAAUCAUCGAAUCUUUGAACGCACAUUGCGCCCGCCAGUAUUCUGGCGGGCAUGCCUGUUCGAGCGUCAUUUCAACCAUCAAGCCCCGGGCUUGUGUUGGGGACCCGCGGCUGCCGCAGGCCCUGAAAUGCAGUGGCGGGCUCGCUGUCACUCCGAGCGUAGUAAUACAUCUCGCUCUGGACGUGCUGCGGGUUCCGGCCGUUAAAAGCCUUAUUUACCCAAGGUUGACCUCGGAUCAGGUAGGAAGACCCGCUGAACUUAAGCAUAUCAAUAAGCGGAGGA